GUCCGAGUUCGUGUUCGUAAAACAGGUAAGUAAUUAAAUUCUGUGUUUCGGGCGCGCACAGCUGAUUGGACAAUGAUGCCACAUAUAUCAAACGGACUGCGGAUAUUAAAUGCCACCACAAGUUGUUACCGAAAAGUGCCCAACAGAGAAUUCUUUUAUUGGUUAACCAUAAUAUUUAACAGGGUCGACUACGAUAGAAUUCAGUCUGUCGGCCCAGACCGUGCUUGUGCUGAGUGGCUCUUGAAGAACGGUGCCAGUGUUAGAUGGAAAGGUUUUUCGGAACAUUUGAAAGAUUACAAUAAAUUGCUAUCAGAAGAAAAUCGAUGUUACAUUCAAGCGGUAGAUGCUACAGAUUCUGGAAUAACUCAUGUAGGAUUUCCAUAUUUUGUUGGUUGCAGGUAUAUUGACGAGAUAAAACUCAUACGUUGUUAUUACUUGUAUAACACCGCCUUGCCAUUAUUAUCAGCAGUGAAGGAUUCCCUAACUACUCUUGAAAUCAAAGAUUGUAAGAGUAUAACUGAUGAAGGAGUGCGCAGUUUGAAAAAUCUCAAAAAUCUGAAGACUCUGAAGCUCACUGGUAUACCAUAUCUAGAGCAUAAAGCUUCACUUAGGAAAGAGCUUGCAGAAGCUCUGCCAAAUUGUACAAUAGAAUUGGAAUAAAUUAUAUGGAACAUCGAUAGGACCUAUGCACAGUAUAUUCGUGUAUCCCGUUCCGCAUUUAUUAUUUCAUAUUACAUUGUAUCAUUUCCUGAGUGGCAGUCAUACUUAAUUUCAACAAUGCCACAAGAAAUGAAUGUUUUGUGUUGUUAUUCUUGCAAAAUGUAUCAAGUACAUAUAGUGAAAAAAGCACGCAAAUGGCAGUGCAAGUUGUGUAAUGCAAAGCAAUCUGUACGGCAGAUAUAUUUUCAAGGAUCUGGCAAAGAUUGUCGCCUUCGCGUCCAGCACUUGAAUUAUUUAAAGGCAAAUAACACAUCAUUUUCCUUACAUCCUGAGAAAGAAAACAGCAAUGAUAGUUGUAACGCUACAAAUAUUGCUCAAGAAUUUGACAUUGAUAAACCUACUGAAAAUAAAUCGGCAAAAUAUCGAGAUUCACCGAAGAAAGAAAAUCCGUCUGAUACAGAAGAUUCAUCUUUUGAUAAUAUCCGUGAAGUUGAAGAUACGAUAACAAAUGAGAAAUCUCCAUGUAAUGCUGUAAACAAUGAUUUACGUAAGUUCGAAAACACUUUAGAUGAUUGUAAUUUUGAAAGUGAAGAUAUUGCUAAUAAGACAGAGAAUCCAGGUUCUAUAGAGUUUAAUUAUAAUUCUAACAUCGAAGAUAAAUGCAAUUUGCAAGAUAGCGGUAAAUCAAGCAGGGAUUAUAAUGAUGCCGCUAAUAUUUUUGAAACUUACGGUGAUUUAGAUGAUCCUCUUAUUUAAUUUUCUUAAAUGAUCGAUAUGCUAUUCUUGUGUAAAUUAACAAAAUAGUAAUGCAGGAACUAUACUAUUUAAUUUAAAUAUAAAUUAAUCAUUUUCCUGAAA